GUGAAAGUAAAAUAUUUAAGACAGAUAAUCCAUUGACAACCAAACAGCCGGUGGAAGCAAACAAGAAAGGUAAGUCCUUCAUUAGCUAAUUGAAUACAGUACCCACAAUAAUUGCACAGUGCACUUUCAACUGUUGAAGCCGAGGUUUGAAUUUUAAUUUGGAAACGGUAUCAACACAGAUCAAGUCAUCCAUAUUGUGAGUUCAGGUGCAAUUUCUGUUUUCUCCUUUGUGGUCCAUCUGAAUAGCAUGCUGUAGUUAAGGUACCUACCAUCAGGUUGCGUUAUAAAGGAAGUUUUAUUUAUUAUUCUGGAUUCACACUUGAGCAUGGGUACCUCCAAGACAGCCCAGGCCUAUAGCCUGCAAAAUGCAAUUUCCUGUAACAGAAAUUUUUAUUUGUAGAUUUCUGUCAGAACCAGCAACAGCCUAAAUGCCUGUGUUCAUGACCACCUGAUCUGGAUAGCAAUACAUUUUACUCUAUCCCACAUGGCAGUCAUAUUAAAUAUAAUACUGAACAACAUGUGUAUUUAUAAAGAUAGUAAACAUGAUAAAUCGCCCGAACUGCGGAAAGCUGUCGUGCGAAGUUAGUGGCGAUAUCCUUUAACGUGUUCUACACAGUUUGUGACGGGGUGGAAAUCCCAUUUCAACAUGGGUGAAAACUACCAACCGCCUGCUUGCCAACACUCGAAGAACAUCUCAACUAUAAUGUAGUGCAGCUUUUAUUAUUCUUAGCAGUUUUCAUAAGCAAUGCCAUAUGAUAAACACGGUUGACUGUAUUAGCUUGGAUAGUUACACUGCUGAUAUUAAUAUGAACGUGAUGCAUUAUAGUAAACCAAGUGGUGAGCUGCCGCAAUGUUGUUUUCCAAAUGAAAGAGUGGGCCUUUAACUGCCAUCCCAAUUCUAUUCUCUCUACACCGUAUGAGCAUACUGGCUCUAAAAGGAGUCUCUCUGGGGAGAAAGCGGAGGCGGGCAGUGCCUACAAAGAAAUGUCACUCUGAUGGAAUUGACAUUUACAAUGAAGCUGGAAGCCAAAUCCAAAAAAGCCUUUCUGGUUUGUGUUCUCCUGUUCUGCUCAUUUGUUGCCGGUCCACGGCAGACAUGUCCUCCAUAUUCAAGUUAGUUGAAGACCAAGUCAUCACAUUUGUAAAGAGUUAAUUGAAGAAGUUCAAGAAGAUUCGGAGUCCAGAUCACCCAGAAUGCUCUAACAGUCAGGGGAAGGGUGAUGUUGUACGGUGAAGAUGAGAACCAGGAGAGCAGUGCCAGAGAGGGGGCUCUGAAGAUCACACUGCACAUCCUGAGGAACAUGAACCAGAAAGAGCUCACUGACACACUGGAGAACAAUCUUUUAGGUGAGCUUGCUGUGUGUCAACCUAAACUCAACUUUAACAAAAGGAAGUUUGAAUGCGUGUUCGAAGGAAUGGCUACACAAGGAAACCCAACACUUCUCAAUCAGAUCUACACCGAGCUCUACAUUCACAGAGGGUGGAAGUGGAGAGGUCAAUAAUGAACAUGAGGUGAAACAGAUUAAGACAGCAUCCAGGAGAUCAGCAACACAAGAGACACCGUUCAAAAUGCAAUGACAUCUUUGAACCCUUACCUGAGCAAGACAAACCAACAGAACUGUCCUGACAAAGGGAAUUGCUGGCAUUGGCAGAAGUUAAUUCUGGACUGGGCUGAAGGAAAAGCCAAUCAAGAUAUCCAGUUGAUAUUUUCUCUUCCUUUUCAAGAGCUGAUUUAAAAAAAAAAAUGGAAAUAAAAGUCCGCAAUCUCAGACUUCAACAACUAUAAUGUGCUGUUUGUAUUUGAUGAUCUGGUGUGAUGUUUCAAAGUCAACCUCAGUGGAAGUGCUGCUGACAAACCUCAUUCAGGGGAAUCUGGUCCCUAUGCUCACAUCUGGAUAACCUCCCGACCAGCAGCUGCUAGUCACUUUGAAUUUGUAUACCUGAGUUUUUCCCAGUGUACAUUGUGGAUCCUCCAGUAUGGCAGAGAGCAGCUUCACCCCUGAGUCUCCUGGGUGAUUGUAGCUCAGGUCCAGCUUUCUCACAUGAAGGUUUGGACCGCAGCACUUCAGCUGGAGAAGCACAGCCUUCCUUUGCGACUCCACAGAAGGACAAACUGCAAAUAAUAUGAAUUUCACACUAAGUAGUUGUUUGGAAGUAGGCUAGAGUGUGAUCCGCCUCGAUCCACGUCGAGUGAAAAUCUACUAACAAACCGGUUGAUGCUUAAAAUGUGAGUUUACUUUAGUAAUUUUAAUAUCAUAAACUGAUUUUACUAACCUGAGUGUCUGCAGUUUAGACCCUCCAGUCCAGCAGAGCAU